GAUGAACGCUGGCGGCGUGCCUAAUACAUGCAAGUCGAGCGAACAGACGAGGAGCUUGCUCCUCUGACGUUAGCGGCGGACGGGUGAGUAACACGUGGAUAACCUACCUAUAAGACUGGGAUAACUUCGGGAAACCGGAGCUAAUACCGGAUAAUAUAUUGAACCGCAUGGUUCAAUAGUGAAAGACGGUUUUGCUGUCACUUAUAGAUGGAUCUGCGCCGCAUUAUCUAGUUGGUAAGGUCACGGCUUACCAAGGCAACGAUGCGUAGCCGACCUGAGAGGGUGAUCGGCCACACUGGAACUGAGACACGGUCCAGACUCCUACGGGAGGCAGCAGUAGGGAAUCUUCCGCAAUGGGCGAAAGCUUGACGGAGCAACGCCGCGUGAGUGAUGAAGGUCUUCGGAUCGUAAAACUCUGUUAUUAGGGAAGAACAAAUGUGUAAGUAACUAUGCACGUCUUGACGGUACCUAAUCAGAAAGCCACGGCUAACUACGUG
rnacentral:rRNA from 1 species